CAACAACAGCUACAACUGCAGCAACAACAGCUACAACUGCAGCAACAACAACUACAACUGCAGCAACAACAGCUACAACUGCAGCAACAACAACUACAACUGCAGCACCAACAACUGCUGCCAUCACAACUAAGCGAGUGAUUUUCAGGUCUGUUCAGCAAACAUUCACAACCGACUUGUUGGAUCCAUCAUCUGCUGCUUUUAAAGGAAGAGCUUCUCUCAUAAAGAAUCAGCUUGAACCCCGGUACAAAAAGGAAUUCCCCUCUUCCUUCCGUUCCUUGGAAGUGGUGCAAUUCAGAAAUGGAUCAAUCUACAAUACUUUGGAUCUCGUCUUCAGCGGUGCUGUUCCUAACAACACUGCGAUUGCAGACGUUUUGCUAAAUGCAGCUUCAUCAGUCAACGGCUUUGACAUUGAAGGCAGCUCCAUCACCGUGGAUGGCAUAGCUUCAAGUGGAGUCAGUCAACAGAUCAGUCUCGUCACUGCAUCCUGUCUGGUGCUGUUGUCAUGGCUACUGUCAAGCCAGCAAUAGCAUCUGUGCUGAUUUCCUUAUGAAUUCCCAUGAGAACAAGAACGACAUCUCUGGAAUGAAGAAGGACUUCAUCGUCAGCAAAAAUCCCAGAUUGUUGAUUUUUUUUUAAUGUGUUGCAUUGUUUUGGAUGAACUCACCACCAAGUUCAACUUUGCACUGAUCCGACACAUCAAUGACAGUGGAUUAGGUUUGUUUGUGGAACUGAACACGUUAGUGUUUGUGGACGUCCAGGAUCCUGGACAGAAUGACACAGCUGCCUUAAAGCUUCUGUUCCAUUGAAACAUAACAACACUAUCUAUGAAACACUGGGGAGUUCAAAAAAUAUCUGUUCUGUUGCACUGCUAAAUUCAAAAUGUAUCUGACUUCACUGAGCACUGUGGCAUAGCAAUAUUCAACUUUGUUCGGUAUUAAUGUCGUCUUAUCUAAACUUUUCUAUAAUCUCCAAAUGCAUGUAAAAUGAAUGUUUAAGUUUGUAUUUUAAAUUAAAUGAAGGAACACAUGCAGGUCAUAGCGGGCUUCACAAUGCGACCUCAUUUAUUUGAUCAAAGGUCAUGGUGUAUCUGGUAUAUAUAUAUAUGUGAAAACUGUUUACUGUCGAUUUUCUUAUUUAUAUAUAGUGGAUUUAAGUAAUCGCACAUUUCUUUAUUCUGUGAGAUUUCAUGUAUUUUUCCGGGGUUUCUGUCAGAAAUGUCAUAAUAAACAAGGUACAAAAUGUC